CACAGAUUUCAGAGAAAUAGGAUCAGUGCUCUGAAGUUAAAAGUUAAGUUUUUGCUUAUAUAGGAAGAAGACAAAGAAAUUUAACAGGAUUAUAUUUCCUAUAUACUGGUUUAAGAGUUAUAACAAAUUAAUUAGUUAGAGUUUGUUUUCUUUUCUGUAUGGCUUGUUUUAUUCAUAGCUGAUUUUCAUUUCCUUUCCAAUUUAAAAGAGUAUGUUUAACAUUCCAUCUUAAGACAAUGUGGUAGUCAUGAAGUCUUUGUGUGAGAAAGGUGAGAGGGAGGUUAAUCUACAAUGAAGAUCAACAGAGGAGAAGGAAGGGGUCUUCCUUGGUGCCCUUCUGUCAUUCAUGUCAUUUUAUUAACACAAAACAAUACAGGCACUCCCUUGCAUUGCUAGCUUAUCUAAUUAUGCUUGCUUAGAAGUUCCAGAGAUUGAAUCUUGAGACAAUCCAGGUGCCUAUGGAAUUAUCCCCCACCAGGAGAUUACUUCAAGCCUGCAGCUAAUUUACAACCCAGUCAAGCCCGAGAUGGCACCAGCUCAUUCACAAGUUGGAGCAAUAACUCAAGAGGGCCAUACAACUUUCAUUGGGCAUUUAAAUAAGCAGAGUAUGCUCCUGGACAACUGGAAGGACACCAUUGAAGGCACUGGUUAUUUUACCAAGGCUUUGACUGGAAUGGCAUGGUUUCAGUUAUAAACAGACUGCUUUAAGGAAUCAAAGUUGACUUACAGAGCUGAUAAAAGGCCCCUAAGAAAAACUGGCCUCACCUCUUGUCUAUAUAGUCCCUAUAUAGGUUUCCUGACCUGUGUUUUUUGACUUGGACUCAAUAAAAUUGCUGCUACCUUUUUACUGAGGCCUUACAAGCUAAAGCUUAUUCCUUGAGACACAGAAGUUCCAGGGAUUGAAUCUUGAGACAAUCUGGGUGCCUAUGGAAUUAUCUCCCACCAGAAGAUUACUUCAAGGCAGCAGCUAAUUUACAACCUGGUCAAGCCUGAGAUGGUGUCAACCCAUUCUCAAGAUGGGACAAUAACUCAAGAUAAGUCAUCAAAACAAGCCACGUAGACCAGCACCACCUCUCACGCCCCCACCCACCACCCCCCACCCACCACAUAUCCUCCAUACCAAACUUCCCCUUCUUAAACCCUAGCAUUUUGCCCAAGAAUUUUGAAGCAGUUUCAUUAAGGCAGGAGCCUGAACCACUUCCCCACUGUUAGCUUUGGAAAAUGAAGUCAAUUUCCUU
ensembl:lncRNA novel transcript